AAUAUUUUUUUCACGGUGUACUAAUCGGUUUUGUUUUGAUACGAAUGUUUUUAUUUUGAUAUUAUCAUUCAUAGUUUCGAAAUUCCAACAGUUCGUAGUCAAGUCUGAAUUGCUUUCAAUUUUGGAUUUUACGCUGAAUUCUUUUAAUUUUGGAUUUUACGAUGUUGUGAAAUAAGAAUGGCCUAAAACGAGAGCAAAUUGCAUACGGUUUUUGAAUGGAUUCUCUGGCUCUCAAACCGGGCCUUCCUAAAGGAUGCGUAGCCUCGUCUCCGUCUAUUGCUGGAUUGUUGGAUGGAUUUCCCGUUGGAACAUUGACAUCGUUGGAAGAGGUUUCUUCUUCGCUUGAUUCGUCGUCCCAGUAUCGACUUGGAGCCCUACGUACUUCUCGAACAUUACGUGUGAAUCGAAGGCCAUAAUCGUUCACGAUCACAACUUUAGCGCCAUCUCUUGCCAGCACAGUGAAGCGGUCGGCAGAAAAGAAAUUGCAGAAUGUUGCGCUCUGGAAUGGAGGCCCGUUGUCGCUUUGGAUACAUUUUGGAAAACCCCAAGUUCUGAAUGUUGCACAUAAUGCUACAUUUGUGGCUUCAGCAGUCAUACUAUUCAUCUCGGCGACAGAAAGGAAUCGGGACCCUGUAAAACUUUGCAUUGCAUGGCCUCUUGGAAGACGUCGGGAGAAUUGCACAAACCAAAGGGCAGCCUAAUACAACGAAACAUGCCGAACUCGGUGCAAAAGUUCGUGAGGUGACGUGAUUCUUCAGCGAGCUCGAUGUGGAAAAACGCACUAGCAAGGUCUAUGGUUGAAAACCAUUGCGCACCGUUUAGUUCAGCUAAGAUCGUUUCCAGCGUCGGCAUUGUAAAAGGAGUACGAUUAAUGUAGCGAUUGGGACCUCUGAGAUCGAUGACAAGCCGAAUGUCAUCUUUCCCUUUAGGGACAACGAUCAUCGACGAGCAGAAAGAGAGAUCCAUACCAUCUCUAACGGGUUCUAUGAUGUCGGUUUUCACGAGCUGCUCCAAUCUUCUUUCAACGACCGGUUUGAUUGCUGCAGGAAUGUUCAUAAAAAUGUUACGGCAAGGUGGACGAGAGCGGUCGUAAUCAAUUUUUAUCGGAUCGAUAUUAAAUUUGGGAAACUUUUCGUUGAUUUCAACUACUGCUAAUUCGAAUGACAAAGAAGUACUGUCGAGCAUUCUAUUAUUUUGAAUGGGAACUCCUAUACCGAGCAUCAAAAUGCUGUAGCGUAAUGCAGUAGGUCGACUGAUCAAUGAUUGAUUAGCAUGGACAACAUAGAACUUUUCCACGAAUAUCGGGCGAUCCGCUGAUAUAAAAAGAGGUGCUUCAAAUGUCAACGAUACUGUAAUUUUUCCUGAAGAUCCAUAGCCUGACAAAGUUCUAUCUGAAUUAUCGCGCAUGUUCAGAAUUCCGUCGCAGAAUCUUGGGCAAAGUUUAAAUCUUUCAAACUUGCUCUGUGCCAAAGUAUUAACUUGAGCCCCAGAAUCGAUGAGAAAAUUGCAGCGCAUUCCAGCUAUUUCAGCUUCGAUAAUACCGGAUAUAGCCGAAUCAGUUACUGUUGCGAUAGUUGUAUUUUCUUUGAGUGAUUGUUUUAGGUUCUGUCGAGUAAAAAUUGAGUUAUACUAUAAAA